rnacentral:rRNA from 1 species
UACAGAGGUGGCAAGCGUUGUUCGGAAUUACUGGGCGUAAAGGGCGCGUAGGCGGCUUGGUCAGUCCCGUGUGAAAUCCCUCGGCUCAACUGAGGAACUGCACGGGAAACUGCCUGGCUUGAGUUCGGGAGAGGGAAGCGGAAUUCCCAGUGUAGCGGUGAAAUGCGUAGAUAUUGGGAGGAACACCAGUGGCGAAGGCGGCUCACUGGACCGGAACUGACGCUGAGGCGCGAAAGCGUGGGGAGCAAACAGG